GUGACAUCACUCAGAACAGGUCACUUCGAAGACUUUCCGUGACACGUAAUUCGAAUCGCAGGUCAGUGUUCGACGAGGCAUCAUUUAGGUCACUCGUUACGAGAGAGGCUCUUUGAAAUGGCUGAAGCACAAGCCAAAGCAGACGUAAAGAUCGAAAUGGAACCUGCAGAUGGAAAUAAGCCGCGGAUCGAAAUAAAAUCUGCCGAUGGAAAUCAGCAGAUGAUCGCAGUGAGAUAUGAAAAUAACAGAAACCAAAGAAUUAAUAACAAAUGCCUCUCUUGCGUUUUGUGUUUCGUACGGGUCUGCCUCUUCACCUUGACAAUAACUGCUCUUGCCUUUUUGUACGUUGUUCGCACCACAGCCCUCCUGGUGUUCCUGGUGGUAACGCUCGCUUUUGCAUGCCCGUUACUCUGUUUGUGUGCUUGGAUAAUGUUACCAGUCCUGGUUCUCGACUGAGUGAUUAAGAGACCCCAGCUUCUGUAGACCUAUAAAUGCGUUUUUCUUUUUAACGGAGUGUAUAUAUAAUUUUUUUUAAUGGCACCUAAAUGUUUUACUUUUUGUUUUACAAUAAGCUAACGUUAGGCUUCUUUUGUUUUAUCUUUCCUCCAGAACCACUUGUCAUUAUUCUUAUUUUUCAACCAGGCAACAUAUUAACUGUAGCCCUACUUAUAUAGUGUUAAUAGUUACUUAAUACUUCAGAAAUUCACUUUAUGGUAAAAGAUUGUCCUCCUCUUGUUAUUAAGA